rnacentral:lncRNA from 1 species
AUUUACGCUCUCCGCCUCGGGCCAGGCGGGGUUUCGGGACUAGGGUUUCUGCCGUGUAAUACCUCCUCGAGGCAGAAAAAUUCUACUUUCCAUCUGCUUGGCUGCGGAGGACCUUGGGGUGGGCUCAGCGUGGGGGCUGCAGGCAGAAAUGGGUCCAGAAGGCAAGGUCGAGGUUAGAGCCAAGCCUGUGGGCAGGGCUACGGGCAGGGGGCGGGGAGGAAUGUGGGUCCAGGCCCAGAGGAAAAGGUUGAAGUUAUAGCCAGGCCUGUGGGCGAGGCCGCAGCAGGGCGGCCAUAGGGGAAGGAGCCAAUGUGUUAUGCAUGUAGAAAAUAGACAAAAUCUCACUCUGUCACCAAGGCUGGAGUUCAGUGGAGCCAUCUCAGCUCACUGCAACCUCCACCUCCCAGGUUCAAGCGAUUCUCCUGCCUCAUCCUCCCAAGUAGCUGGAAUUACAGGUGCAUGCUGCCACACCCUGCUAAUUUUUGUAUUUUUAGUAGAGGCAGGGUUUUGCCAUGCUGGCCAGGCUGGUCUUGAACUACUUGUCAGGCCUCUGAGCCCAAGUUAAAUCAUCAUAAACCCUGUCACCUGCACGUAUACAUCCAGAUGGCCUGGAGCAACUGAAGAACCACAAAAGAAGUGAAACAGCCAGUUCCUGCCUUAACUGAUGACGUUCCACCAUUGUGAUUUGUUGCUGCCCCACCCCAACUGAUCUCUUGACCUUGUGACAUUCUUCUUCUGGACGAGUCUCAGGAGUUCCCCACCGAGCACCUUGUGACCCCCGGCCCUGCCAGCAAAAGAUAACCACCUUUAACUUUCCACUACCUACCCAAAUCCUAUAAAACUGCCCCACCCCUAUCUCCCUUUGCUGACCCCUUUCUCGGACUCAGCCCACUUGCACCCAAGUGAAUAAACAGCCUUGUUGCUAACAAAAAAAAAA